rnacentral:rRNA from 1 species
UACGUAGGGUCCAAGCGUUAUCCGGAUUUACUGGGUGUAAAGGGCGAGUAGACGGCGUUGCAAGUCAGAUGUGAAAACUUGGGGCUCAACCCCAAGACUGCAUCUGAAACUGUAAUGCUAGAGUGCAGGAGAGGUAAGUGGAAUUCCUAGUGUAGCGGUGAAAUGCGUAGAUAUUAGGAGGAACACCAGUGGCGAAGGCGACUUACUGGACUGUAACUGACGUUGAGGCGCGAAAGUGUGGGGAGCAAACAGG